rnacentral:rRNA from 1 species
ACGCUCGACACCUACGGGAGGCAGCAGUUAGGAAUAUUGGGCAAUGGAGGAAACGUCUGACCCAGCAACGCCGCGUGAAGGAAGAAGGUUUUCGGAUUGUAAACUUCUGAUCUAGGGGAAGAAGGAAGUGACGGUACCCUAGGAGAAAGCCACGGCUAACUACGUGCUAGCAGCCGCGGUAAUCUGAGCGGGCUGGCAAGGC